ensembl:lncRNA
GCAUCAAGACGCUGCGCUACUUGCGAGAUUCUCAAUAAAGUUAGAAAAAAAAAUGUCGCGAAAUACCCAACAGAUCGGCUUGUCCCGGGGUAUUUCGCGACAUUUUUUUUAUAUAUAAAAAUUUUUUCUUUUAUAUAUAAAAAAAAAAAUUUCGGGGUAUUUCGCGACAUUUUUUUUAUAUAUAAUUUUUUGUUUUGUUUUAUAUAAAUAAAAAAAAUAUUUAUAUAUAAAAAAAUAUGGCCGAUGUUUUGAUAACUGACCGCUGCCAGUUCAGUGUUUCCCAACCUAAUAACCGUUAUAACCUGUUGCACAAUAAAGGAGAUUGAAAUCACAUCUGGAUUCUAAAAGAUGCACCACUGUGAUCACAUGUCUUCGAUCUACAGCUCCAGUCCUUUAGCCUUUAACCCUCAAUACAGGAGGAGCAUUCAAAAUGACGUCUCUUGACAUCUUAACAUGGUUUGAAAGAAUGAAAAUGAACGUUUGACAGAAAACAACAAGUGUCCCAUGAGUUUUAGUGUUGAGGUGAAUGAGCUCUGAGUGUUUGUCCUGAUGAAGAUAAAGAACAUGUGGGCUCUGCCAGCAGGUUGUUGUGAAGGUGUGGACUCUGCUAUGAAUCAGGCUCAGGAGCGCGGCGUCCCUCCCUCUGAAGCCCCUUUGUGUGGGGAACAUGACGGCCAGACCAAAGCUCAGUUCACCAUCAUCUCCAUGCUGUACUGUAGUAGAUUGUCCGUCUGUCCAACAUGGACCUGAUGGUGGCUUCCAUGGUUCUAGUUUGAGUCAUUCAUAGAAUGUUUUGUUCCAGCUGCUGGAGAACAUCCUCACUUUUGUGAAGAACGAGCUGAAGAUCCAAAAGGUUGUGAGUUCAGAUUACCCAGAAUGCUUAGAGAAGGAGGGUGAGGAGGUGCUGGAUGAAGAGCAGAGGAGGAGCAGAGAGGCAUUUGUGACUAUCUCCGUGCACUUCCUGAGGAGACUGAAGCAGCAGCAGCAGGAGGAGCUGGCUGACCAUCUGCAGAGCAGUAAGAGGAUUUCUCUACACACUUACCAUGCUGAUAAAUGAGACCUUCACUUAUGUUUCAAGAGAUGGACAGAAUAUAUUCAUGGAGUCACUCUCUGAGGAAAGGAGGUGUUGAAAUCUUUCUUUGACUCAUUGAUCUUCUUUGUUGUCUUCAUUCAGGACUUGCUCCAGUUUGUCAGGGUGAACUCCAAUCUAACCGGAAGAAGUUCCAGUGUGUGUUUGAGGAGAUCGCUAAAGCAGAACACACAAUCCUUCUGAAUGCUGCUCCUGUUGCGUAGCAACCUGCUGCGCUUGACAGUAAAAGUCUUAAAAGCCAAACAAACGCUCAAACCGAGUUGCCGACGGGCGCACAAACCGAG